rnacentral:tRNA from 1 species
GCCGGGAUGGCGGAAUUGGUAGACGCCCAGGACUUAAAAUCCUGUGUCGAGCGAUCGACGUGCCAGUUCGAUUCUGGUUCCCGGCA